GGCUCCUCUUAUCCUAUGCUGAGCCACAACUGAGAACAGUCUUUUAUACCAGCAGAAAAGAAGGACCGAGGGGGCGGAGGAGAGGAGACAACUUCUAGCUUUCACGGGUCAUGAAAUGCAGAGCUGGAUCAUGUCUCUGGUUCUGUGCCAGGGCAGCGUAGUUGCGAGCCAGACCUGUAGCAGCAGCAUUGGUGUGGCAGUGAUCCAGGAGUACCGCCUGUCCAAGGAGCAAGAGCAUAUUCCUGGGCGUGCACAGGAAGAUGGUAUUUGUUCUAUCCAGAAAGGAACCCAGUGCUUUCAUGCAUUCGCUUUUUUAAUAUACCCAUGGCUGAGCAGAACAAGUUGCAGGAUCUGCUUCCAAGACAGUAUGCAUGUAAAAUGAGGAGAACGCAGCAAUUCUGCUUGCUCAUUUGCUGCAGAACAGCAGCAGCACAAGGCUGCUUGUUUCCAGCAUGUUCUUGUCCAGACUCUGAGCCCAGGCAAAAGGCACUGCAGACAGUAAGUUUGGGGAAGAGGAGAAAAUUCAAUCACAGAGUGUGAGGGGAGGAGAGUCAAUGCAAAAAAGGCAAGCUGGUUUACGAGGUGAAGAGAUAGGAGAGCAGUGUCUCUGUAUUUACAGAAGUGUCACUCUUUUAAAGAUGUUGCCAGAACGCAGCUAUGGGGCUGGACCACCUUAUGCAGUAACUGGAAAUUUGGCCCAUAUAAUCUUUUUCAUCAUAAUGACUUCUAAUUAGUUAACAAAGUCAGAUAGUUGAAUGUGGCAUGUGGUUGGGACAAGGUUGUUUCCCUUAAAAUAGCAAUGGUUUGAAUCUGCAUAGCCACAGAAUAACCUCCAAAAAGUUGCAUUAAAUCGCAGUGUAGAAUUUUAUCAGGAGUCUGAUGCACCUCUUGACAGCUAAGGGCCUAGGUCCUUUGGCUAUUCCCUGAACUCGGCCCAUAGUGGAAAGAUGCCAUCUCAUGUCAGGGCAGGAGAAAGA